rnacentral:rRNA from 1 species
UAAGGGAUCUUCCGCAAUGGACGCAAGUCUGACGGAGCGACGCCGCGUGCGCGACGAAGCCCUUCGGGGUGUAAAGCGCUUUUCUCGGGGACGAUCACAGACGGUACCCGAGGAAGAAGCCUCGGCUAACUACGUGCCAGCAGCCGCGGUAAUACGUAGGAGGCAAGCGUUGUCCGGAAUCACUGGGCGUAAAGCGCGUGUAGGCGGACGAGUAAGUCUGUUGUGAAAGCGCCUGGCUUAACCGGGCGAGGUCGAUGGAAACUAUUCGUCUGGAGGCCGGUAGAGGGGGGUGGAAUUCCGGGUGUAGUGGUGAAAUGCGUAGAGAUCCGGAGGAACACCAGUGGCGAAGGCGGCCCCCUGGGCCGCGCCUGACGCUGAGACGCGAAAGCGCGGGGAGCGAACGGGAUUAGAUACCCCGGUAGUCCGCGCAGUAAACGAUGUCCACUAGGUGUGGGGGGUAUCGAGCCCCUCCGUGCCGCAGUCAACACAGUAAGUGGACCGCCUGGGGAGUACGGCCGCAAGGUUAAAACU